rnacentral:rRNA from 1 species
CAGCCGCCACGGGAAUACGUAGGUGGCAAGCGUUGUCCGGAAUUAUUGGGCGUAAAGCGCGCGCGGGCGGAUAGGUCAGUCUGUCUUAGGAGUUCGGGGCUUAACCCCGUGAUGGGAUGGAAACUGCCAACCUAGAGUAUCGGAGAGGAAAGUGGAAUUCCUAGUGUAGCGGUGAAAUGCGUAGAUAUUAGGAAGAACACCAGUGGCGAAGGCGACUUUCUGGACGAAAACUGACGCUGAGGCGCGAAAGCCAGGGGAGCGAACGGGAUUAGAUACCCCAGUAGUCCCUGUCUCUUAUACA